AGUGCAGCUCAAGGUCCCUCUCUAGGUGGCGAGGACGCGGCACCCAGUGGCCAUGGCGGCCAGCAACGUGCUCCUCCUGGACACCGAGAGUGGCCCCCCGAGAGCAGCCCCCCAAGAGCCACCCCCCCGAGAGUGUACGUGGAGGAGCUGAAGCCCACCCCCGAGGGCGACCUGGAGAUCCUGCUGCAGAAACGCUGGGUGUCCCCCCACUCAACGUGGAACUCCCCAUCCCCAGGGGGGUGUGGUGUUUGUGAGACCAGGGCCCAAGGGAUGGGGGGAACAAGGCUCAGAGGUCCCCGUCCCCUAGGAGCCUGGCCCAGGGCCAUGGGGCAAAAAGGCCAUCACACGGAGUGGCCCUGGGGUUGGUGUGGGGAGAGGCCUGUGUGCAGGAUGCUGGGCAUCAGGGCCUGGGCAGCUGCUGCCAGGAGUCCUGUCUGCCCCAGAGAGGUGGGGCAGAGACUUGAGGAAUUCUGAGCCCUCAAGAGCCCAGCAUCCUGGAAGCGCUGUGUCCAGGCCCCACGCGGACGGGGUUAGUGUUGAGCUGCCCUGUUCCCCUGGCCCCCAGCCGCUGGCCUGCUGGGUUCCGGCCAGCUCUGCCUGCCCCGCUGUCCAUCUCCUGGGUCGCCUGCUGGGGUCCAUGGAGGGCCAGUCCAGCGCCCGCCUGCCCUGUGGGCACGUCCUGGAGCCCAGCUCCUGUCCCUCUACGGGGUUCAUGAAUGACCCCUUCCCCCGCAACCACCUGGCUUUUCAGGGAAAACCACGAGUGUAUGGAGAAGACCCUCAUGGCCCAGAAGACCGAGGACCCUACUGUCUUCACAGUCGACUCCAGGACCCCGGAGGUGGAUGACGAGGCCAUGGAGAAAUUCGCCAGGGCCCUGGCGUCAUUGUCGGAGGACGUGCAGAUGGUCCUGGACCUGCGCCGGGGGGCGGGUGAGCUCGGCAGCCCCUCUUCCCUCCCCAGGCCU
rnacentral:lncRNA from 1 species